UGAUAAGCCGCAGAAGUUGCCAGUUGC
rnacentral:piRNA from 1 species